UAUCCGAUUGAUAGUGUAAAUGAUGUGUAUGUAGCUGACGCUACGCAGUGGAGAAUUAUUGCGUGUUUGCUCUAUUGUAAUUGCUUUGGCUGUUUUUACAUUUAAACGCAUAUAAACAAAUUUGUUCUGUUAACUAACUAAGCAUCGCGAUGUAUAGCUGAAUGCACGGCGCAAUCUCUACAUAUAACACAACACCAAUUCUUUUGCUUUACACCACAUUAGGAUGAAACUAAUAACAUUGUUUUAGAUCAAGUGACAAGAAUUUUGUGUCCAUUGGAAAGGGGUCGCCAUUUCUCCUUAAGGCCGGCAGCAGGGUCUUGUGGGUGCUGCGGAUCCGCCAUGACAACGGCGGAUGGUGCGAAACCGCGAGGAUUACUGUGCGCAAUACUGCGUACUUUUGCCCGCAGCUGCGACUGGUUUUCUACUGGGGCUUCGGCUCCUUUAGUGGCUAGCGAGUUUACUUUGAAUAAAUUAGAGUGCUCAGAACAAACGUUUGCUUGAAUGGUCGAUCAUGGAAUAAUAAAAGAGGACUUCGGUUCUAUUUAUUGGUUCAGGAACUGAAAUAAUGGUUAAGGGGACAAUUCGGGGGCAUCGUAUCCCUGCGCGAGAGGUGAAUUCGUGGACCGCAGGGGGACGCCCUAAAGCGAAAGCAUUUGCCAAUAAUGUCUUCAUUAAUCAAGAACGAAAGUCAGAGGUUCGAAGGCGAUUAGAUACCGCCCUAGUUCUGACCGUAAACUAUGCCAUCUAGCGAUCCGAUGGGGUAUUAUUGCCUUGUCGAGGAGCUUCCCGGAAACGAAAGUCUUUCGGUUCCUGGGGUAGUAUGGUUGCAAAGCUGAAACUUAAAGAAAUUGACGGAAUGGCAACACCAGGAGUGGAGCCUGCGGCUUAAUUUGGACUCAACACGGGAAAACUCCACCGGCCCGGACACCGCAAGGAUUGACAGAUUGAAAGCUCUUUCUCGAUUUGGUGGUUGGUGGUGCAUGGCCAUUCUUAGUUGGUGGAGCGAUUUGUCUGCUUUAUUCCGAUAACGAGCGAGACUCUAGCCUGCUAAAUAGUGGCUGGAUUUUCAAGUCCAGUCUACUUCUUAGAGGGAUAAGCGGUGUUUAGCCGCACGAGAUUGAGCGAUAACAGGUCUGUGAUGCCCUUAGAUGUCCGGGGCUGCACGCGCGCUACAAUGGAAGAAUCAGAUGGCCUAUCCGUUACCGAAAGGCACUGAUAAACCGUUGAAACUCUUCCGUGUCGGGAUAGGGAAUUGUAAUUAUUUCCCUUGAACAAGGAAUUCCUAGUAAGUGUGAGUCAUCAGCUCACGCUGAUUACGUUCCUGCCAUUUGUACACACCGCCCGUCGCUCUCCGGGACUGAGCUGUGCAUUUCUCGGUUACCGAUUUACCGGUUUAACCGGGAUUUACCGAUAUUCGUGAUAAAUUCUCUUAACGAAAUUUUUCGAUAAAUUUCUAAAUUUACGACUUUU
rnacentral:rRNA from 1 species